CGGGAAGAUUAUGACGGUACCAAAAGAAUAAGCCCCGGCUAACUUCGUGCCAGCAACCGCGGUAAUACUAAGGGGGCUAGCGUUGCUCGGAAUCACUGGGCGUAAAGGGUGCGUAAGCUGAUCUGUAAGUCAGGGGUGAAAUCCGGGAGCUCAACUCCAAAACUGCCUUUGAUACUGAAGAUCUUGAGUUCGGGAGAGGUGAGUGGAACUGCGAGUGUAGAGGUGAAAUUCAAAUAUAUUGGGAAGAACACCAGUGGCGAAAGCGGCUCAGUGGCCCGAUACUGACGCUGAGGCACGAAAGCGUGGGGAGCAAACAGGAUUAAAUACCCUGGUAGUCCACGCCGUAAACGAUGAAUGCUAGCCGUUAGCGGGUUUACUCACUAGUGGCGCAGCUAACGCUUUAACCAUUCCGCCUGGGGAGUACGGUCGCAAGAUU
rnacentral:rRNA from 1 species